rnacentral:rRNA from 1 species
UAGUGAGUUUGAUCCUGGCUCAGGAUGAACGCUAGCGGCAGGCCUAAUACAUGCAAGUCGAACGGGUGUAGCAAUACACUAGUGGCGCACGGGUGCGUAACGCGUAACCAACCUGCCCGAAACUGGGGGAUAGCCCGCCGAAAGGCGGAUUAAUACCGCAUAACCCAACAGUGUGGCAUCACACCAUUGGUAAAGAUUUUAUUGGUUUUCGGAUGGGGUUUGCGUGACAUUAGCUAGUUGGCGGGGUAACGGCCCACCAAGGCGACGAUGUCUAGGGGGACCUGAGAGGGUGAUCCCCCACACUGGCACUGAGAUACGGGGCCAGACUCCGUACGGGGAGGCAGCAGUAGGGAAUAUUGGGGCAAUGGGGCGAGAGCCCUGACCCAGCCAUGCCGCGUGCCCGGAUGAAGGCCUUUC